AUUGAACGCUGGCGGCAGGCCUAACACAUGCAAGUCGAACGCAGUGGGGACGGGUGAGUAACACGUGGGUAACCUCCCAUCAGAGGGGAUAACACUUGGAAACAGGUGCUAAACCGAUACUGAUGGAUGGACCCGCGGUGCAUUAGCUAGGUGGUGAGGGAACGGCUCACCAAGGCCACGAUGCAUAGCCGACCUGAGAGGGUGAGCGGCCACACUGGGACUGAGACACGGCCCAGACUCCUACGGGAGGCAGCAGUGGGGAAUAUUGGACAAUGGGGGAAACCCUGAUGCAGCCAUGCCGCGUGUGUGAAGAAGGCCUUCGGGUUGUAAAGCACUUUCAGCGAGGAGCGUUACUCGCAGAAGAAGCACCGGCUAACUCCGUGCCAGCAGCCGCGGUAAUUC
rnacentral:rRNA from 1 species